GCUCAUGUUGAAUGGAUGAUAAAAACAAGGCGCGAGUGGUCCUGACCGAAGGCUGUACCAAUCAUGUUUAUAGCGCUACAACCUGGAAUCGCGUCCACUAUUUAUUAUCUUGUUUCAAAGCAGCCCUAUAAUGCAGAUCAUUUUAGAUGGAUAUAGAACGACAGGUCAAUGAUUACACAUUGAAUAAAUGGAUUCUUAAAUGGUUGAAUGGCCUGAUAUUGCCAAAGGAUCCCCUAGAUGUAACCACCCCAAGGUACUUCUUUGAAACAAUGACCUACAAGUGUUUAUGAGCCAUGCAUUCGUAUUAUGAAUUGGAAGAACAUCAAUCAGCAAGUAUUUAUGGCUGAUGUCUCCUAGAUGAGAUAAUUUUCCCCAAACUGCGUGUGAUCCAUUGCUCUAGGUAGCAA